ACGUCGGUGGAAACCACCUGAGUCAAUUUCAAUCUGGGACCAAAAGAAGAGAACUGCUGUCCACCUACAACCAGACAGAGAGCCAACAUGAACAGACCUCAGAAUGUUUCUGCUGCUCCGUCCUACCUGGGAUGGUCUAUCUUUAACACCCUGUGCUGUUGCCUGCCUUUGGGGAUAAUAGCUAUUGUCUAUUCAAAUAAGGCAGAUGUUUACAAUUCUCUUGGAGAAUCAUCAGCGGCUCAGGGCGCUUCAAGGACAGCAAAGGUCCUGAACAUCGUCGGACUUGUGUUUGGACUGAUUAUGACUGCCAUUGGGAUCAUCUAUAUGGCUGUAAUUGUUAAUGCAUUUUCAAGGCGUUAUUAGAAAACUUUCAACAAGAUUUUAUUUUAGUUAGCUGACGCUCCCUCCCCCACACACUCACACUUGAGCAAACAGACUUCUUCCUGCAUUGUUAGUUGAUACACAGUUGCUGUGGUUUUGAUAUACAAAAACACAGGUUUGAAGUGUUGUAUGUUUUCCUGUCUUUAAAUUUCGUUGUGUUUCAUUUUGAAAAAACAAUAAACAACUAAAGAGUU